CGGUCAAUGUCGGUCAACCCACUUUGACCGCUUAUAAAUCCCGAUCUACAAUAGAUAUGCACUUGAUUCCUUUUGGAGGUUAAAGACCACAUAACAAGAUACACUUAACAACUUUUAAACAACACAAACAGUAAAUAAUCACAGAGUUAUAAGUCUUGACAUUUGCCCAAAAAUCACAGAAUUCGGUUUUUCCAACUUGCUCAAAUCUUCAAAUUCGUGCACUUUGAUGUUAUGGGUUCAUGAUUUUACAACCCAGAACAUUAAUAGACUCCCUAUUACACUACUUUAAACAAUCAAUUGCAUCAAUUAACAUCGAAUCGAAGGAUUUCAAAAUUAGGGAAUUUCAUACCUUUUCUAGCUUCGAUUUUUGAUUUUUUUGGCUUUGAUGCUUCUGAUUUGUUGUUUGUGAUGGCUGGGCUUUGAUUAGGAGCUUAUGGGCAAGAUAAUUUCGUUGGUAAGAGGUUGGGAGAGUGUGUCUAGAGAGUUGCUAUAAUUUUAGUGUGCAUUAAGCUUGAAUUUCCUUAAUUUCUAUUUAUAGACCAUUUAGAUUGCCUUGGAUGCUCAAUAAUGCUAGUAUAAUUGGAUGCUAGCUGAUAAAUAUAGUGGGGCAAGUAUGUUGGCCAUGAUUUGUUGCUAGAUUCCUCAAUAAUACACUAAUAAUACACUAAUAAGCCAAAAGGGCAAUUUAGUCAUUUCCACACUAAUGAUUGGUUUCUUCCUUUAAUAAUGUACAAGGGUAGUUUAGACUUCUCAUGUCUACCAUGAAGGGCAUUUUAGACAUUGGCCAUAACCAUUAGGCUUUAUCACUUUAGAUUUUAAAAUUCCAUAAUAUAACUAAUAAUACACUAAAAGGGUAUUUUGGUAAUUUCACAUAUAAUUUCAUGGACAUUUUUGUAUAUAGCAAUUAAAUGUAGUAUUUAAUCACUAGAUGGUAAUUCUUAUCAUUUACCAAUUACUUUCUAUCCUUUGGUAAAUUAAAACAUUUAUACAAUAACAUCGUAAUUAAACCCAAUAAUUUUAAAUUAGGGUUUUCUAUAGAAAAUUAGAAUUUUCUAAUUAGGGUUUCUUAACGUCAUCAAUUAGGGUUUCUAAUUGACCAUUAGGGUUCUCUAAUUAUCUGUGUAUGUUCUAACACAGUCAUUACGAUCUCUAACUUCAACCGAUUAGGGUUGUAAUAAUUAGGGUUUGUCCUAAUUAUCGACAAACAACAGUAAUUAGGGUUUUCUUCUAAUUACCGACAUCUUAUACACAGUAACCUUCAUAUACACAGUAAACUUCAUAUACACAGUCACUACUCAGUCAUUUCUCAUAACUAAGUUUAAUAAUUAGGGUUUCACAGCACGGUAAUAUGCUAUGACCUAAUUGACCGUCAUUGCUCAAUAUUAUCUGUCCGCACAUACACAGUAC
rnacentral:lncRNA from 1 species